CUGAAGCAACGUCACUGGUGCCGGACGCCAUUUUAGCAGAGUGAAAAUAAUUGUCGCCAGAUAAACUUGCUUUGAACAGACGUGCGUUUUGGGAAAUAAUUAAAAUCUCAAUAUAGAUAAUGAGUAACGGUGCAAGUGCCGGGGGAUUGGGCGCAGCGCGUCCUCCGCCCAGAAUCGAUGGAAUGGUCUCGCUGAAGGUCGACAAUCUCACAUACCGCACCACGCCGGAGGAUCUGCGUCGGGUCUUUGAAAGAUGCGGCGAGGUAGGCGACAUCUACAUACCCAGGGAUCGCUACACGCGCGAAAGCCGCGGUUUUGCCUUCGUUCGCUUCUAUGACAAACGUGAUGCUGAGGACGCACUGGAGGCCAUGGACGGUCGCAUGUUGGACGGCAGGGAGCUUCGUGUACAGAUGGCCCGCUACGGCCGCCCGUCGUCGCCCACACGUAGCUCGAGUGGUCGUCGUGGCGGAGGAGGUGGAGGUGGAUCCGGCGGACGUCGUCGCUCACGAUCCCGCUCCCCGAUGCGUCGCCGUUCGCGCAGCCCGCGGCGCCGCUCGUAUUCCCGUUCCCGCUCGGCUGGCAGCCAUUCACCGGAACGCCGCUCCAAGUUCUCGCGCAGUCCUGUCCGCGGCGACAGUCGCAACGGAAUCGGAAGCGGGUCCGUGGCAAUAGUCGCAGCCGCGUCUCGCAGUCGCAGUCGCUCCUAAAUAUGACAAAAACGUUCCAUCAUGUUAGAGUGCGAGAUAUGGCUCGCUGACAAAGCCAGAUUCCGACUCCUGUUAAGGAUCUGUGGCUCCUCCUGUGUCAUGCUGUACCCGAACAGCAGGCAGUUGGUGUGUGGCAGUUGUUGCGGUUCUGAUAAGAUUGUGGUUAAAUCGCGAGGGAGGAUCAGCAGCAGCGCAUCAUCCAAGCUACAACUCCUUUCUCCUUCCUCCUGGGAGCGGACAUCGCGUGGCUGCUGUUGCUGCUGCUGCUGCUGCUGCAGAUGCUGUUGCUGUCGCUGACGCACGUUGCCGUUGCUGGUGCCGCUGAUGUUGCAGUUGCAGAUGCAGCUUGCUGUUUCCUGUUAGCCGCUGUCACAGCUCCAGAUUCUGCGAUUCUCCAGCUUGGGAGCUGGGAGUAGCAGUCACUCAUAGUUUCCUGUUUCCCGACACUUCUUCUCUCGUCUCGUCUCGUCUCAUCUCGUCUCGUCUCGCGAUUUGUAGCUGGUUGGCGUUGUUGGUGUUUUCCUGUAUGUUGGUGGGCGUCCCCUUUUGAGUUUAGGCGAAAAAACAUUUCCAGCCGAGCUAUGUUGGUGAUGCAAUGGAUGUCGGAGUUAGGACCUCGAACUGUGACUAGGCCUCGUUGGAUUUCUUCAAGGACUUAAUUGGGUGAGUCGGACAGCUAACUUUUUUUUAUUACAGCUUUUAAAAAAAAAAUUAUUCAAUAAAAUGUAAUUCCAUUUAAAUGUA